rnacentral:rRNA from 1 species
AUUGAACGCUGGCGGUAGGCCUAACACAUGCAAGUCGAGCGGAGCGGCGGACGGGUGAGUAAUGCCUAGGAAUCUGCCUGGUAGUGGGGGAUAACGUCCGGAAACGGGCGCUAAUACCGCAUACUAUCAGAUGAGCCUAGGUCGGAUUAGCUAGUUGGUGGGGUAAAGGCCUACCAAGGCGACGAUCCGUAACUGGUCUGAGAGGAUGAUCAGUCACACGUGAACUGAGACACGGUCCAGACUCCUACGGGAGGAAGCAGUGGUGAAUAUGGGACAAUGGGCGAAAGCCUGAUCCAGCCAUGCCGCGUGAGUGAUUACGGCCUUCGGGUUGUAAAGCUCUGUUAAUCGGGACGCGGUACCGGAAUAGAAAGCCACGGCUAACUACGUGCCAGCAGCCGCGGUGAUUC